ensembl:lncRNA
CCUUUGUCUUGUAAAGAAAUAACUCACAUACCUAUGCCUUAUAAAUGUAGCCCUACCCUCAACACAUUGCAGCUCUUCACUGCCCAGGGGUCCUGACCCCAUGCUAUUCUCUGAAUAAAAGAGCAUACUACCAGACCAUGAGAGUCCAAGGAAUCUUUCUUUUGACUCCUCGGCUCGCCAAGCCCACAUCAGGAGAUAAAUCAGCCACCAAACUGCUGAAGUGAAUUAAACUAAACUGGUCAACAAAAAUAAGGACAGUAGAGACUCCAAAGAAUGAGCAUAGCAAAAUACCCUUGGACUCAGCACCUUGUUGGAGCGUCAUGAAACCUCAAGAAUAGAAGAAGCAAGGAAUGUCAAAACAUGUUUGUCUUCAUUGAAGAAAUAAACAUUGGUGAAGUUAUGUAAAAGAUAAAAUAAUUUAAUUUUAUUAGGCUAAAGUGCUUCGAAAUAGAAUAUAAGGAAUGUAAAAAUUCUUUGAACCAGCUAUGUAUAAUAAGGUCCCAAGGAAAUACUUGGAAGGUAACUUGAUAAUGAAUAAUCAUCUGUGGGGGAGAGUUUAAGCUAACAGCGACUCUGUUAAUCAUCUACACUAUAGGUCUACUUAUUCCACUCUAUGAACAUGAUACCUACUUCUUUACCUCCUCAGUAAGAUUCACUCCUUUCUCCACUUUGCUUAUUAUUUGCGGUAUUUGAUUUUUUGAAGUAUGUCAAUAUUCCUAGUCAUAACUCUCCAUCUAGCAUUCGUUCUUUUAACUGCAACCUGACCUCAAUUAAUCCUCCACAUCAGCUCAACAAAAAGGACCUGAAUGUGUUUUUUUCUCUCGAGAAGACUAUGCAAUAGUCACCAAACUUGAAGUAAAAGAAAGAUGGAAGAUGUAGCAUUAAUCUUUUGUUGGCCCAAGCCUUUACAGAUGAUGACUAAUGGCUGUUGCUAGACAGAAAAUAAAGAUUUCAUGUGUUUAAUAUUUAAUAUUCUGCUCAUGGGAGACAUUAUGUGAGACAGAGUUCAUUUACAAACAAAAAUGAGGGGUGGAAAAGAAGAAAAGGUGAUGAAAUAACAAGGAAUCCAGGGCUGCCGUGAAUAGUUGUGCAAGAUUUGCCUUGACCAAAAGUAUUUUGUACUGGGGAAAGUGAGGCUGAAAUCCAGUUAGAGCUCAGCUUUAGGGCCUAUGCUUCCCCCUGAGAAAAUGGGCAUUUUUUAAAAUCUCACAAAGAUGGCACAAUGGUAAGUCCCCUUCUGUAGAAGAAGAUUGUUUUUUUUUUCAGAGCAAUAAACUCACUAAAACAUUUUAACACCCCCUUCCAUUAUUUAGAAUAUUUUUCCUCCUUUGUUUUACCUCUCUCCUUUCUCUUCCUCUUUUUUCUUUUUUAAUCUCUUUGACUCUUGACUUCCUAUGAGUUGUGGAGGGUUCUGAGUUAAUGAACAAACAGCAACUUGUGGACCAAGUUCACCCCACAUCUUUUUUUGUAUACCUUGCAAGCUAGAAAAGGUUUUUACAUUUGUAAGUGGUUGAAAAAAUUAAAUAUUUUAUGACAUGUGGCAAUUAUUUGAAUUCAUAUUUCAGUUUGUGUAAAUAAAGUUUUAUGUAGCAC